ACCAAAUUUUGCCAAAAAUGAAAAUGAGAGAAUUCUUCAUUUUUAUUACAUUUCCUGAUACAUAUUAUAGUUUACUAAUUAUUCCUCUUAAUUACAGGGUCGGUCCUCUUGUCCUCCUCUUCUCUCUCCCUCUCCUUAUGUUGGUGCCUCCAGUGAGUCCCUUAACUUGUCAAGUCUCAUCAGUUCAGCUAACAUUGGACCCACCUGAGUCUUAACCUCUAACAAGUACGUCUACUAGUAUAUACAUGUAUAAACAUGACUUUAACGUCUUAAUGAUAUACAUGUACAUGUACAUUUACAUGUAGAUAUACAUGUAAUACUCUACGUUGGCCGAAGGUAAUUGAACUAUUAUGUUAAUGCUUAAUUGUACUGAAAGAAACAAUCCAUUUUUAAAAGCUACUGUACAAGUUAUGGUAAUUUAGCUAGCAAGCAUUAGAUGAUAGGAGUACUUGUAAUGCAACAUGUAUGGUACAUGUACAUGUACAUAAUAACAUGUCAUUUGUUGUUGUUUAUUGUUGUUGUUAGGUUGUUUGGGUGUUAUCAGAUAUGGUCCUUGAGUGUAUAGCAUGGCCCACGUGUUAACUAAACUACAAAGAGGACAUUAUCUGUUGGACAGAAAGAGGAAAGCACUUCAAGAACCAACCAGGGUUAAAUCAGUUGAUCCAGUACAUUCAAUAUGACACAGGAAUAAUAAUGAACCACAUUAGUACAUGGUCUUGGGUCAAUACCACCUUCUCACUACAGUACGGACAACAGUUUCCAAUCAACCCCACCCACAGUAUCAGAAGAGAAUAAGGAUGAAUAUUGUAAAGUAGCUAGAUAUGGUCCUUGUCCAAUUUCAGAUGAUGACAUAGCUAUGUACUCACAAUUUGACAGAUGAUUAUUUUAUUGUGUGUUAUAUAUGACUAUUUGAUUAUGUGUUCACCACUUUCUGUGGUGGUUUGUGUGUUUUAUCCCACGAGUGUGUUUGAAUAAUAAUAUUGACAGUUAAUAGUUAAUGCUAUGUCCUGGAACUGGAA
rnacentral:lncRNA from 1 species